GGUGGCUCAGUCGUAGAGUACUUGCCUUGCAUGCAUGAGGCCCUGGGUUCGAUUCCUCAGCACCA
rnacentral:tRNA from 1 species